GGCGCUGCAACCUAAUAAAACAUAAAGGUGGCGCUGUAUAUACGCAAGUUACAUGUGCUAUUGUUAUGGAAUCUAUUUAUAGCUACAGAUCUGUUUACAAGUUCCAAUCAUUUAACGUUGUAAUAUUAUCAUUUGUGGCACAUUAUAUGUAUCAAAAUGACGUGUUUUUAAUAGUGCUUUAACAUUUAAUCAUAGUGACAGAAAAGGGAAAGAAAACAUAAUUAACCUUUAAUUCGAAUCUAAAGUCACGUGGAUGGAAAUUCAAAUUCGUAGGCGUUACGUUUUGGCUGCGGUCAGGAAUCGGGAUGCAUUGAUAAGUGAAUACUAUAGGUUUUCUUGAACAAAAAGGGAGUUUAAGUGUUGGACAUGCUCUCAAAGGUCGGAGGGACGGAAACACAUGAAUAUGUAAAAAGAAACAUAUGAAAUGAAAAUGAUGUCACACACGCUAUUGGGCGCUACAUAUCCUCCGGACAGACGAGGGGUGCUGAAAGAAGGUCAUAUCUUAAAGCAUCACACCUCAAAAUUCGUGCUAAUUCUCAUGGAUAUCUAAAAGUAUAACUUUGUGAAGUAACUAAAAGGCAGCAAUUUAUACAUUACUGACAAUUAUCAAAGGAGGUCAAAAUAUGCAAAAUGGCACUAAAUGUUUUAGAAAUGCUGUAGAAAUAUAGUUAAAGUACUGAAAAUCUGUCAUUAAUUGCUUGAAACAUUAUUAUCAGAAUCUUUUAACUUUUCUUAAAAUUAUAAUAUUUUCAUUGUUUUAUUUGAUAAGGCAAACUUUGAUAGAAAUGUGCAUACAUUGUUUUGUUCUUAAAUAUUUGUACAUGUUUUCUUAGUUUCAUUUAUGUCAUUGUUUUUGUAAUACUUUUUGUUUUGUAAUUCACUUAUUUUAUGUUUUAUUUUGUUUAAUUUAUGAAAAUUAUUUAACCUUGCAGAAUUUACUAAAAUUGUAUGUAUCAGCUUAAAAUUGCAACUUUUAUCUUAAAUUAAAAAAACAUGAAACAUAUUUUUGCUUUUAGUUUUCUGUUAUACAUUUCAUUUGAGGGAAAGUUACUUGAUAGAAUGAGUUACAUUAAAUAAGAUCAAAUCAGGAUUAGCCAGAAAAUAUUUAUGACGUG